CUCAGUCAAUGACGUGUCAGCUAGUCUCGGUCCCUGUCAACAACCCUCGCGGCUCCUCUCCACGAGGAGCCCAGCUCGAGCGACGUGGCGCGGCCAAGGCAGGCGGGGGAGCCCCGGGAGAGACCCAUCACUCAGCGCGUAGGCGUACCGCGAGUGCCGUGGUCGAGGCUGUAAACCCGGGAUGGUGAGAGGAGAGCGGACCUAUAGUCUGGAGCCGAAAAACCAUGCCCACUGAUGCAUCACCAUGACUUCUCACAACAACUCUGCUGACAUGUCCCACCCUCCUCCUCCUCCCCCACCACCACCACCGCCCUCCUCCUUACCGCUGUCAAGCCUCCAUCUCAACUCCUCCUCGACCCUGGCCUCCGUCGCCCCCUCAUACAUCUUUUUGACCUUGCCUGACAAUUGCAGUGGCGCGGUGUCCGCGUCAUCCUCGCCGCCAUACAACUUCUACGCCGUGCUGCUAGUUCUGCUCAUCUUCUGCGUGGUGUUCGGCAACGUGCUGGUGUGCGUGGCCGUGUCGCGGGAAAGAGCCCUGCAGACAACCACCAACUACCUCAUCGUUUCCCUGGCUGUUUCCGACCUGCUACUAGCCACCCUGGUCAUGCCUUGGGGGGUCUACCUGGAGGUGGUGGGCGAGUGGCGCUUCAGCCUGAUCCACUGUGACAUCCUGCUGACUCUGGACGUGAUGAUGUGCACGGCCAGCAUCCUCAACCUGUGUGCGAUCAGCAUCGACAGGUACACGGCAGUGGCCAUGCCGUUGUUGUACAACACACGCUACAGCUCCAGAAGGAGGGUGGCACUGAUGAUCGCCGCCGUCUGGUUCCUCUCCUUCGCCAUUUCCUGCCCGCUGCUCUUUGGACUCAACAACACUGCGGACCGCGAAGGCACCACGUGCAGCUUCGCCGACCCAGCCUUUGUAGUGUACUCGUCGGUGGCGUCCUUCUACGUGCCCUUCAUUGUCACCCUGCUGGUGUACGUUCAGAUCUGCGUGGUCCUGCGCAGACGCGGCCGACGCACCGCGCCCCCGCGCAGGCACAGCGGGGCCGAGGCCUCGGGGCCACAGCGGCCCAGGAAGAAUAAAUGUACCCAGCCAGAGGACGUGAAACUGAGCACUUUGAUCCUAAGACCGUCCACUGCGGCCCCCGGGCGCAAGCGAGUGACGCUGGUGAAGGAGGCGCUGGUGCACCCCCUGGAGGUGGAGCCAGGUCGCUUCCUGCCACAGACCGAACAGAGUUUAGCCGCGCCGCCCGCCGCCCAAACGUCUUCGGCUCACCCGGGCCGGGCGACCGUCUCGCUGUCCAUCUCGGUGGGGCCCGCCCAGGCCCACCCGUGCAUGGUGACGCGCUCGGCCCUAACGCCCCGCCCCCCCACGCUGGAAGACGGCAUGCGGGGCCGCGAGAGCUGGCGGGAGCACGACGGUGGAUGGACGGGCGUGACCAAGGAGAGGGCCAGGGGGAAGAUGUCGCAGCAGAAGGAGAGGAAGGCCACGCAGAUGCUCGCCAUUGUGCUCGGCUCACUGCGCCAGCUGCUGCAUCUCGCCGUCGCUGUACAGCACCGUCACAUGGCUGGGCUACCUCAACAGCGCCGUCAACCCCAUCAUCUACACCACCUUCAACGUGGAGUUCCGCAAGGCCUUCAUCAAAAUCCUCCUCUGUUGACCGCGCACGGUCUCCGACUCCGACCUCGCACUCCGUCUCGUGAAAAUGAAGUGAUCGUCAAAGGAUGAUACGAACACAGACGGAUGAUCGAUUGAAGAACAUUUUGACAAGGACGCAAGCUGAGGAUUGAUUGAUUCUCAACGGUCACUUCAUUAGGAUGGAGUUUCUGAGCCGGCAUAUUGAGGAAGGGUGAGCAUCCCCCCAUCCACAAGUGGGUGCCAAGUCAGCGAGCCCGUCCAGCAGGGGACUCAACCAGGGAGAUGCCACCGACGGAGGUCCCGAGCCCGACCGAAGCAGGCAGAGGCACCGGACCACCGCACCCCCACGCCCCACCCCCACCCAACGAGACCCCCCGCCGCCACCGGCCCCACCACCCCCGGAGAGCAUGGGGGCCCCACCCACCAACAGGAGCCAGCAGCCAUCCAAAAAACAGUCAUAGCCCCCCAAAGGGAGCCCAUGUCAAGCACCCAUCGUGAGCAAGGACGGUGAGGGCGCCAAGAGAGGGGAGAAGAAGGCGGGAUCCACAGGGGGCGGGGGGGCGACCCCCAACCCUCCGUGGCCUGACAACCGGACACAGGCCCCAGGAGUCAAGCCAAGAGAAAUGUGAAAACCCACCACCCACCCUAUUACUAUGGUUACCACCGUUAUCCCUAUACCGUGAUAGUGUGUGGUGGGGUUGUAGUGCAUUAAAAUUGGAGAUGAGGCGAGACGGUCACAGGGCAAUAAUGACCCACAACCAUCACCCCACCCAGGCCAACCAGCACCCCAAGGAUGUGCCAAUGUAUGUAGUGCAUUCAAAAUUUGCGUGAGAAAAGCUUGGCGGGCCAGAUAGCUGGCCGGAGUGCCGGGACACCUGGCCGAGUGUCCUCCUGAGCUCGACCCUGCCCUCACCCCACAGAUGGGUGUAUGAUGCACUUGAUGUUUAAGUGAGGUUUGUUUUUAAAAAAAUAUUUCGAUACAAUUUUUAUUCAACUUUUUUGUGCAUUACAUUUUAUCUACUACAGUAUUUUUUUUACUUUUCAUGUACAGUACAUUUUUUAAUUUUUUUAAAUAAUAUAGCACAUUUUUAAAAUACAAUUCAGUUGUGUUUAACUUUGAAUUCCAUUUGCAUUUUAUCUUUAUGAGUGGUUUGUUUUUAAACAUGUAUCAACAUGCAAAAGAUUAUAAUUCAAUCGUUAUCUCAGUACAUUCAAUAUUUUUUUUUAACUUAACGAUAUUUAAGAACAAUAUGUUUUGUUUUGUUUUUACUUUCAAAAUAGGAGUAUCGUAAUAUAGACAAAUGUUAGCAUGUGUGUUGUAAUAUGUAUGUUAUGUAUUGCACAAUAAUCUGGCAUAAUAUUGUGGUUGUCAUUGAUGCCGUUUUUAAUAUUUUGGUUACAAGUGUUACAAUUUAUACAUAUGUAAUUAAGUGCAUUAUCAUUUUAGUUUAACUUUAAAGGAAACAUGUGCUUUUUUCCUCCAGUUUGGUUGUUUAAUUUCAAAUUUGAUGAGUGUAAAGGCAGUCCAAAGACUCAACUACAGUAUUUGUAUACUGAAGUACAUUUCACAUAAUGUGUACCGUUUCAGUAAAUUUUGGCAGUUUUAUGGUCAGAAUUCAUGAGAUUUGUAUGAGAUAAAUGUAACCAUACACAUUUAAAGAGAAGCCGUUUUUUUUUUUUGGCGUCUAUUUGUGUGAUGCAACAUCACAAUUGUGUCACAAUUGCUUAAAAGUUACAUAAUUAUCUAAAUAAAA